CCAUGACCCAUGUGAAGUCCACCUCUCCAACCCGAAUCGUCUUCCCUGCAAUCGGCGCCGUUUCUCCUCUGUAUUUAUCACAACCAGUAUGGAUGAUUAGCCUCGGUUCUUCAAUCCUUUCUUAGUGGUUUAACCUCUAAUGUUACGUCAAACCAAAAUCUACCUCCUUUUAGAGAAGAAGAUCACGCUAUGGCCAUGAAGCCUCCUAAAUCCACCGGAAAGUCUCCUGCACCCUCAAUUUUAAUGAUGUCUCACCAGGCCAGUCGAAUCGGAACACCGAUUCUGAGUAAUCCAAUUUCUGGGAGGUGAGAAAUACAGAAAAAGGUUGGAUUCUUAUUGGCUUGGAACUGCUUCUCAUUUAUGAACAAAAAAGGGGUUGAGAUCUAUGGGUGCUAGAUUCCUUUUGGCAGCAGUAUUUUCACGCCUUUUAACCAUACACCACAACAUAGACUUAACAGGUAAGUACCAGAUUUUACUGUCCCUCUCUUUGAUGCAUCCUUUUUAGUUGCUGCGUACUUCUUACUUUGCUUGUGGAUAUCUGUCUAGAUGGUUGUUUAAACUCUGUACCUCAAGAAAAAAUAUGUUAUGGUUGCAACUUACGACCCAUGGAAGCAUGAGACGGUUCACAUGAAGAGAAGAUGUCUGACUAAGGGUUGGUUGUAAAUUCUGAUGGAGAAUAAGUUGUUCUUCAUUCAAAAAAACUCAUGUGGUAUUGGACCUGUUGAUAAAUCACACUGCCUUUAUGAGCCAGAGUACGGUGAUGACGGCUGUAACUUCUUUACUCAGUGAUGGAAUAGGUUUUAGUCCGAGGGAAGACGGUUAGAGACGAGAAAAAGUCAACAACACUCUAUCACAGAGUGGUCGUUCGUGUAGAGAAGGCAACCUAGGCUUCACCUUGGAUCUUAGUCCUGGAAAACUGACCUGAGUCAGAGAGGAGUGGUUGUUGACAUGUCGUUCAAACACAGAUCAACAAAUCAACCAGAACAUAGGCGGAUAAAGGAUAUACGAGGAUACUUUGAGGACGGUUGCCUCAACGGAGUCCUUGCAGUCACAAGUGCCAUUGAGAACUGGGAACUGAAGAGUCCUUUCACUGGCUCCUCUUCACCUCUGAACUCAGACCCAAAGAUUCAGCAAACUAUUCUAACAGAGGACGAUGACUUCUUAAUUUCAGCAUGUGAUAUAUUGUCAAGCCGGCAUGCAGUGAGUAACAUAACUCAAAGACUGAGGCGCGGGGAACCCAGAUUAAUAUAUUGUGGUCAUAUGCUUCUCCUCAGUUCCGACAAACCUCAUCGACAGCAGAGGAUGGUUAAGGUUUUGUGUAUCUGAUGAAGCCCGAGCUCAGUUACAACUUACAACCCGAUGCUUGGAAGGGGCUGAAACCAGUCUUUUUGGCAGUAUAUAUAAAGAGAGAUCGUAGUUCAAAUAUAAAACAUAAAGAGGGAUCGAUAUUAGACCAGUCCAGCGAUUAUUUCUCUAAUUUGUGAUCAGUUUCAGUGAGAUAGAAUAAAAAACUUACAUAGUGGUAGAGAGCAGAAGACAUGUUUGUAAUGUGGUUGGUCAUUUCUGUUUCAUCUGUUUGUUAGGUUAUUUAGAAGAGAGUACAAGAGAAAAAAGGAAACAUGUAGUUUUGUUAGGACUUAGGACUAUUGAAAUCAUAAAUUAUUUGCAAGUCAAACAACAUACAAUUACUCAGGAGUUGAAAUCUCUGGGUUUUAUUACUCUUCA